rnacentral:rRNA from 1 species
GACGAACGCUGGCGGCGUGCCUAAUACAUGCAAGUCGAACGCAGUGGGGACGGGUGAGUAACACGUGGGUAACCUCCCAUCAGAGGGGAUAACACUUGGAAACAGGUGCUAAACUGAUACUGAUGGAUGUACCCGCGGUGCAUUAGCUAGUUGGUGGGGGAACGGCUCACCAAGGCCACGAUGCAUAGCCGGCCUGAGAGGGUGAGCGGCCACACGGGGACUGAGACACGGGCCAGACUCCUACGGGAGGCAGCAGUAGGGAAUAUGGGGCAAUGGGCGAAAGUCUGACCGAGCAACGCAGCGUGAGUGAAGAAGGUUUUCGGAUCGUAAAACUCUGUUGUUAGGGAGGCGGUAUCUAACCAGAAAGCCACGGCUAACUACGUGCCAGCAGCCGCGGUAAUAC